UGGGGAAUAUUGCACAAUGGGCGAAAGCCUGAUGCAGCAACGCCGCGUGAGUGAUGAAAGGCCUUCGGGUUGUAAAGCUCUGUCUUUUGGGACGAUAAUGACGGUACCAAAGGAGGAAGCCACGGCUAACUACGUGCCAGCAGCCGCGGUAAUACGUAGGUGGCAAGCGUUGUCCGGAUUUACUGGGCGUAAAGGAUGCGUAGGCGGAUUUUUUAAAGUGAGAUGUGAAAAACCCUAAGCUUAACUUGGGGACUGCAUUUCAUACUGGAAAUCUAGAGUGCGGGAGAGGANAAUGGAAUUCCUAGUGUAGCGGUGAAAAUGCGUAGAGAUUAGGAAGAAACACCAGUGGCGAAGGCGAUUCUCUGGACCGUAAACUGACGCUGAGGCAUGAAAAGCGUGGGGUAGCAAAACAGGAUUAGAUACCCUGGUAGUCCACGCCGUAAAACGAUGAGUACUAGGUGUAGGAGGUAUCGACCCCUUCUGUGCCGCAGUUAAACACAAUAAAGUACUCCGCCUGGGAAGUACGAUCGCAAGAUUAAAAACUCAAAUGAAUUGACGGGGUCAAUAGCUGUUUCCU
rnacentral:rRNA from 1 species